rnacentral:ncRNA from 1 species
GCUAGUUACCGCAUCACCUGAUCACUGAUGGCUCAACGGUAUCUGGCGGAACAAGUAAAUAAUGUAGCUGCCUUUUGAGCGGGUUUGCUGCAGACCGAAACGGAGGUUUCCGUUUGGACUGCGGUUGGUUUUUCACACCCAUUUUGCGGCAGC